CAGAUUGGAGAGUCAUACAUGCCAUUCCUGGGACCAUCAAAAAUGGCAGAGGUCACACAAAAAGGCAAAACUUUUAAGAGGUGUUUUAAACGUCGUAUGGGCCAAAGAGAAGCUGGAUUUCCUAUUGGAGUCACCUGUAACACACGUGUGACGAAAUUGGCCUGUGAGGACAAGGCAGUGAGCAGAGAGGACAGCAGUCCUUAUGAGAUCAAGCUCUAAGGUAUCCUAGACACAUUUGGAGAAUUCACCUGAGCUACAGGAUGUGUCUUGCUCUGUCACCCAGGCCUGGAGUGCAGUGGAGCAAUCUCAGCUCACUGCAGCCUCCGCCUCCCGGAUUCAAGUGAUUCUCCUGCUUCAGAUUCUCGAGUAGCUGGGAUUACAGUUUUGAGAAGAAUGCGAAGAAGAAAGGAAGAGUGAGCCUCUCUUUCCCAUCGUUACCCUCCAUUGUCCUCUUGACACCCUGCUUUCACAGAGAAAGAGUUUGAGACCCUCUCCCAGGAGCCAAGGAGAGGGGAACAGCUGGCUUCACAUCAUCUUUCUAUUCAACAAGAUACAAAAAGCUGAAGCCAGGAUGAUAGAAAAGCAACAAAGAAGACACGGUCCUUACUCAUUUCCCUUCCCACUUCAGAGCAAAUAUGGUGCCUGGUGUUCGAAGGGAGAACUUGUGGGCAGAGCAGGAAGC
rnacentral:lncRNA from 10 species